rnacentral:precursor_RNA from 1 species
UGUCGGGAACCAACUCAGUGGUCUAGUGGUUAAGCAUUUGCCGCUGAGCCGGUGGGCCCUGAGUUUGAUCCCUGAC